CCUACGGGUGACAGCAGUGGGGAAUAGUGGGCAAUGGACGCAAGUCUGACCCAGCAACGCCGCGUGAAGGAAGAAGGCUUUCGGGUUGUAAACUUCUUUUAAGGGGGAAGAGCAGAAGACGGUACCCCUGGAAUAAGCCACGGCUAACUACGGGCCAGCAGCCGCGGUAAUACGUAGGUGGCAAGCGUUGUCCGGAUUUACUGGGUGUAAAGGGCGUGCAGCCGGAGAGACAAGUCAGAUGUGAAAUCCACGGGCUCAACCCGUGAACUGCAUUUGAAACUGGUUCCCUUGAGUGUCGGAGCGGUAAUCGGAAUUCCUUGUGUAGCCGUGACCUGCGUAGCUCUCAGGAAGCAC
rnacentral:rRNA from 1 species